GCGUAGGACCUUACCUACCCUUGACAUCCAGAGAAGUUGGCAGAGAUGCCUUCGUGCCUUCGGGAGCUCUGAGACAGGUGCUGCAUGGCUGUCGUCAGCUCGUGUUGUGAAAUGUUGGGUUAAGUCCCGUAACGAGCGCAACCCUUGUCCUUAUUUGCCAGCGAGUAAAGUCGGGAACUCUAAGGAGACUGCCGGUGACAAACCGGAGGAAGGUGGGGACGACGUCAAGUCAUCAUGGCCCUUACGGGUAGGGCUACACACGUGCUACAAUGGCCGGUACAAAGGGUUGCGAGACCGCGAGGUGGAGCGAAUCCCAGAAAGCCGGCCUCAGUCCGGAUCGGAGUCUGCAACU
rnacentral:rRNA from 1 species